UACGAAGGGGGCUAGCGUUGCUCGGAAUCACUGGGCGUAAAGCGCACGUAGGCGGAUCUUUAAGUCAGGGGUGAAAUCCUGGAGCUCAACUCCAGAACUGCCUUUGAUACUGAGGAUCUCGAGUCCGGGAGAGGUGAGUGGAACUGCGAGUGUAGAGGUGAAAUUCGUAGAUAUUCGGAAGAACACCAGUGGCGAAGGCGGCUCACUGGCCCGGUACUGACGCUGAGAUACGAAAGUGUGGGGAGCAAACAGG
rnacentral:rRNA from 1 species